rnacentral:misc_RNA from 2 species
GAAAUGCGAUAAGUAAUGUGAAUUGCAGAAUUCAGUGAAUCAUCGAAUCUUUGAACGCACCUUGCGCCUUUUGGUAUUCCGAAAGGCAUGCCUGUUUCAGUGUCAUGAAAUCUCAAUCUAAUAUGUUUUCUGAACAUGUUAGGCUUGGACUUGGGUGUCUGCCAGCAAUGGCUCACCUCAAAUGACUUAGUGGAACAUCCCACAUCAGUGUUAGACGUAAUAAGUUUCGUCUCUCCUUGUGGUGAUGACUGCUCAAAACCUGCCAUCGCGCACCUUUUGACUUUGACCUGAAAUCAGGUAGGGCUACCCGCUGAACUUAA